UGCCCUGGCAGUCAGAGGCGAUGAAGGACGUGCUAAUCUGCGAUAAGCGUCGGUAAGGUGAUAUGAACCGUUAUAACCGGCGAUUUCCGAAUGGGGAAACCCAGUGUGWUUCGACACACUAUCAUUAACUGAAUCCAUAGGUUAAUGAGGCGAACCGGGGGAACUGAAACAUCUAAGUACCCCGAGGAAAAGAAAUCAACCGAGAUUCCCCCAGUAGCGGCGAGCGAACGGGGAGGAGCCCAGAGCCUGAAUCAGUGUGUGUGUUAGUGGAAGCGUCUGGAAAGGCGCGCGAUACAGGGUGACAGCCCCGUACACAAAAAUGCACAUAUUGUGAGCUCGAUGAGUAGGGCGGGACACGUGGUAUCCUGUCUGAAUAUGGGGGGACCAUCCUCCAAGGCUAAAUACUCCUGACUGACCGAUAGUGAACCAGUACCGUGAGGGAAAGGCGAAAAGAACCCCGGCGAGGGGAGUGAAAAAGAACCUGAAACCGUGUACGUACAAGCAGUGGGAGCCUCUUUUAUGGGGUGACUGCGUACCUUUUGUAUAAUGGGUCAGCGACUUAUAUUCUGUAGCAAGGUUAACCGAAUAGGGGAGCCGAAGGGAAACCGAGUCUUAACUGGGCGUUAAGUUGCAGGGUAUAGACCCGAAACCCGGUGAUCUAGCCAUGGGCAGGUUGAAGGUUGGGUAACACUAACUGGAGGACCGAACCGACUAAUGUUGAAAAAUUAGCGGAUGACUUGUGGCUGGGGGUGAAAGGCCAAUCAAACCGGGAGAUAGCUGGUUCUCCCCGAAAGCUAUUUAGGUAGCGCCUCGUGAAYUCAUCUCCGGGGGUAGAGCACUGUUUCGGCAAGGGGGUCAUCCCGACUUACCAACCCGAUGCAAACUGCGAAUACCGGAGAAUGUUAUCACGGGAGACACACGGCGGGUGCUAACGUCCGUCGUGAAGAGGGAAACAACCCAGACCGCCAGCUAAGGUCCCAAAGUCAUGGUUAAGUGGGAAACGAUGUGGGAAGGCCCAGACAGCCAGGAUGUUGGCUUAGAAGCAGCCAUCAUUUAAAGAAAGCGUAAUAGCUCACUGGUCGAGUCGGCCUGCGCGGAAGAUGUAACGGGGCUAAACCAUGCACCGAAGCUGCGGCAGCGACACUAUGUGUUGUUGGGUAGGGGAGCGUUCUGUAAGCCUGUGAAGGUGURCUGUGAGGYAUGCUGGAGGUAUCAGAAGUGCGAAUGCUGACAUAAGUAACGAUAAAGCGGGUGAAAAGCCCGCUCGCCGGAAGACCAAGGGUUCCUGUCCAACGUUAAUCGGGGCAGGGUGAGUCGACCCCUAAGGCGAGGCCGAAAGGCGUAGUCGAUGGGAAACAGGUUAAUAUUCCUGUACUUGGUGUUACUGCGAAGGGGGGACGGAGAAGGCUAUGUUGGCCGGGCGACGGUUGUCCCGGUUUAAGCGUGUAGGCUGGUUUUCCAGGCAAAUCCGGAAAAUCAAGGCUGAGGCGUGAUGACGAGGCACUACGGUGCUGAAGCAACAAAUGCCCUGCUUCCAGGAAAAGCCUCUAAGCAUCAGGUAACAUCAAAUCGUACCCCAAACCGACACAGGUGGUCAGGUAGAGAAUACCAAGGCGCUUGAGAGAACUCGGGUGAAGGAACUAGGCAAAAUGGUGCCGUAACUUCGGGAGAAGGCACGCUGAUAUGUAGGUGAAGUCCCUCGCGGAUGGAGCUGAAAUCAGUCGAAGAUACCAGCUGGCUGCAACUGUUUAUUAAAAACACAGCACUGUGCAAACACGAAAGUGGACGUAUACGGUGUGACGCCUGCCCGGUGCCGGAAGGUUAAUUGAUGGGGUUAGCGCAAGCGAAGCUCUUGAUCGAAGCCCCGGUAAACGGCGGCCGUAACUAUAACGGUCCUAAGGUAGCGAAAUUCCUUGUCGGGUAAGUUCCGACCUGCACGAAUGGCGUAAUGAUGGCCAGGCUGUCUCCACCCGAGACUCAGUGAAAUUGAACUCGCUGUGAAGAUGCAGUGUACCCGCGGCAAGACGGAAAGACCCCGUGAACCUUUACUAUAGCUUGACACUGAACAUUGAGCCUUGAUGUGUAGGAUAGGUGGGAGGCUUWGAAGUGUGGACGCCAGUCUGCAUGGAGCCGACCUUGAAAUACCACCCUUUAAUGUUUGAUGUUCUAACGUUGACCCGUGAUCCGGGUUGCGGACAGUGUCUGGUGGGUAGUUUGACUGGGGCGGUCUCCUCCUAAAGAGUAACGGAGGAGCACGAAGGUUGGCUAAUCCUGGUCGGACAUCAGGAGGUUAGUGCAAUGGCAUAAGCCAGCUUGACUGCGAGCGUGACGGYGCGAGCAGGUGCGAAAGCAGGUCAUAGUGAUCCGGUGGUUCUGAAUGGAAGGGCCAUCGCUCAACGGAUAAAAGGUACUCCGGGGAUAACAGGCUGAUACCGCCCAAGAGUUCAUAUCGACGGCGGUGUUUGGCACCUCGAUGUCGGCUCAUCACAUCCUGGGGCUGAAGUAGGUCCCAAGGGUAUGGCUGUUCGCCAUUUAAAGUGGUACGCGAGCUGGGUUUAGAACGUCGUGAGACAGUUCGGUCCCUAUCUGCCGUGGGCGCUGGAGAACUGAGGGGGGCUGCUCCUAGUACGAGAGGACCGGAGUGGACGCAUCACUGGUGUUCGGGUUGUCAUGCCAAUGGCACUGCCCGGUAGCUAAAUGCGGAAGAGAUAAGUGCUGAAAGCAUCUAAGCACGAAACUUGCCCCGAGAUGAGUUCUCCCUGACYCYUURAGRGUCCUGAAGGAACGUUGAAGACGACGACGUUGAUAGGCCGGGUGUGUAAGCGCAGCGAUGCGUUGAGCUAACCGGUACUAAUGAACCGUGAGGCUUAACCUUACAACGCCGAAGCUGUU
rnacentral:rRNA from 1 species